rnacentral:lncRNA from 1 species
AGGCUCUGGCUGUCAACCAGGGCCAGCCCCCUUUUGAGGGCCAGGCUGAAGGUGGAGGGGCCUGCCCAGGCCUGGCUACGACCCCUGCCUCCAGGGGCGUCAAGGUGGAGUUAGACCCGGCCAAAGUGGCUGUGCUGACUACUGUGUACUGCAUGGCAAAGGAGGAUGUGCCCAAUGACCGCUGCUCUGCCCUGCUCGAGCUGCAGAGGUUCAACCUGUGCCAGGCACUGCUGGGCACAGAGCAUGGCGAUUACUACAGUCCCAGGAGGGUGAGGGACAUGCAGGUGGCCAUUGCCAGUGUCUUGCACACAGAGGCCUGCCAGCGCCUGAAGGCAUCCCCAUAUGUGGGGCUGGUGUUGGACGAGACCAGAGACUGGCCGGAGUCACACAGCCUGGCCCUGUUUGCCACUUCAGUGUCCCCCUGUGAUGGCCAGCCCGCCACCACCUUCCUGGGCAGUGUGGAGCUACAGGAGGGCGAGGCCACUGCUGGCCAGCUCUUGGACAUCCUGCAGGCUUUCGGCGUAUCUGCACCCAAGCUGGCCUGGCUCAGCUCAAGCCUCCCCAGUGAGCGCCUGGGGAGUGUGGGCCCACAGCUCCGGGCCACUUGCCCACUGCUGGCAGAGCUGCAUUGUCUCCCUGGCCGGACAGAUCCUGAGCCCCCGGCCUACUUGGGUCAAUAUGAGAGCAUAUUGGAUGCCCUAUUCCGCCUCCAUGGUGGCCCUAGUUCCCACUUGGUCCCUGAGCUCCGGGCAGCACUGGAC